rnacentral:rRNA from 1 species
GACGAACGCUGGCGGCGUGCUUAACACAUGCAAGUCGAACGGAAAGGCCCUGCUUUUGUGGGGCGCUCGAGUGGCGAACGGGUGAGUAACACGUGAGUAACCUGCCCUUGACUUUGGGAUAACUUCAGGAAACUGGGGCUAAUACCGGAUAGGAGCUCCUGCUGCAUGGUGGGGGUUGGAAAGUUUCGGCGGUUGGGGAUGGACUCGCGGCUUAUCAGCUUGUUGGUGGGGUAGUGGCUUACCAAGGCUUUGACGGGUAGCCGGCCUGAGAGGGUGACCGGCCACAUUGGGACUGAGAUACGGCACAGACUCCUACGGGAGGCAGCAGUGGGGAAUAUUGCACAAUGGGCGGAAGCCUGAUGCAGCAACGCCGCGUGCGGGAUGACGGCCUUCGGGUUGUAAACCGCUUUCGCCUGUGACGAAGCGUGAGUGACGGUAAUGGGUAAAGAAGCACCGGCUAACUACGUG